UACAGAGGUCUCGAGCGUUGUUCGGAUUCAUUGGGCGUAAAGGGUGUGUAGGUGGCGCGCUAAGUCGGGUGUGAAAUUUCGGAGCUUAACUCCGAAACUGCAUUCGAUACUGGCGUGCUUGAGGACUGGAGAGGAGACUGGAAUUUACGGUGUAGCAGUGAAAUGCGUAGAUAUCGUAAGGAAGACCAGUGGCGAAGGCGGGUCUCUGGACAGUUCCUGACACUGAGACACGAAGGCCAGGGGAGCAAACGGG
rnacentral:rRNA from 1 species